rnacentral:rRNA from 1 species
GAUGAACGCUGGCGGCGUGCUUAACACAUGCAAGUCGAACGGGAUCCCAGGAGCUUGCUCCUGGGUGAGAGUGGCGAACGGGUGAGUAAUGCGUGACCGACCUGCCCCAUACACCGGAAUAGCUCCUGGAAACGGGUGGUAAUGCCGGAUGCUCCAGUUGACCGCAUGGUCCUCUGGGAAAGAUUCAUCGGUAUGGGAUGGGGUCGCGUCCUAUCAGCUUGAUGGCGGGGUAACGGCCCACCAUGGCUUCGACGGGUAGCCGGCCUGAGAGGGCGACCGGCCACAUUGGGACUGAGAUACGGCCCAGACUCCUACGGGAGGCAGCAGUGGGGAAUAUUGCACAAUGGGCGCAAGCCUGAUGCAGCGACGCCGCGUGCGGGAUGACGGCCUUCGGGUUGUAAACCGCUUUUGACUGGGAGCAAGCCCUUCGGGGUGAGUGUACCUUUCGAAUAAGCA